CCAGACUCCUACGGGAGGCAGCAGUGAGGAAUAUUGGUCAAUGGGCGAGAGCCUGAACCAGCCAAGUCGCGUGAGGGAGUACUGCCCUAUGGGUUGUAAACCUCUUUUGUCGGGGAGCAACGAGGCCACGUGUGGCCGAAGUGAGAGUACCCGAAGAAAAAGCAUCGGCUAACUCCGUGCCAGCAGCCGCGGUAAUACGGAGGAUGCGAGCGUUAUCCGGAUUUAUUGGGUUUAAAGGGUGCGUAGGCGGAACAUUAAGUCAGCGGUAAAAUCGAGGGGCUCAACCCCUUUAAGCCGUUGAAACUGGUGAUCUUGAGUGGGCGAGAAGUAUGCGGAAUGCGUGGUGUAGCGGUGAAAUGCAUAGAUAUCACGCAGAACUCCGAUUGCGAAGGCAGCAUACCGGCGCCCGACUGACGCUGAGGCACGAAAGCGUGGGGAUCGAACAGGAUUAGAUACCCGCGUAG
rnacentral:rRNA from 1 species